UGCCAGCCGCCGCGGUAAUACGGAUGGUGCGAGCGUUAUUCGGAAUCACUGGGCAUAAAGAGCACGUAGGCGGCUUUUCAAGUCAGUGGUGAAAUCCCCCGGCUCAACCGGGGAACUGCCAUUGAUACUGCUGAGCUAGAGUGAGGGAGGGGCAGACGGAAUUCCAGGUGGAGCGGUGAAAUGCGUAGAUAUCUGGAGGAACGCCAGAGGCGAAAGCGGUCUGCUGGCCCUAUACUGACGCUGAGGUGCGAAAGCUAGGGGAGCGAACGGGAUUAGAUA
rnacentral:rRNA from 1 species